AAAAGGAGGACUUUAAGGAGUGAUGUUUUUGGAAACAGUAACAGAAAAAGACAAACAUUGUACUGUCUGGACGAGGAAGAGGAAGAGCAAGGGGCCCAGGGAGAAGACCAGGUCCAGUGAGAGAUGCAGAAGGAGGUGCAGUGAGAGGUGGAGGUGCAGUAAGAGGUGCAGUGAGAGGAGCAGUAAGAGGUGCAGUGAGAGGAGCAGUAAGAGGUGCAGUGAGAGGAGCAGUAAGAGGUGCAGUGAGAGGUGGAGGUGCAGUGAGAGGAGCAGUAAGAGGUGCAGUGAGAGGUGGAGGUGCAGUGAGAGGAGCAGUAAGAGGUGCAGUGAGAGGUGCAGGUGCAGGCCCAAGGAGAGGGCAAGGUAGAGGUGUAAG
ensembl:lncRNA